rnacentral:rRNA from 1 species
UACGUAGGGGGCAAGCGUUGUCCGGAAUUCUUGGGCGUAAAGCGCGUGUAGGCGGCCAGAUAAGUCCGCUGUGAAAUCUCGAGGCUCAACUUCGAGCUGUCGGUGGAAACUGUCUGGCUAGAGUCCGGAAGAGGAGAAUGGAAUUCCUGGUGUAGCAGUGAAAUGCGCAGAUAUCAGGAAGAACACCCGUGGCGAAGGCGGUUCUCUGGGACGGUACUGACGCUGAGACGCGAAAGCGUGGGGAGCGAACAGG